UUUUCAUUUAUGGUAAGUGGUUUGGCACUUAUGCUCUACUACUAUAUUUCUUUUUCUUUAUAUUACCCCAUUUUAUUGCUUGCACUUUAAUUUCGUUCUCAUAUUUGCUGGCAUUCGCAGUUGUUCUAGCAAACACAAAGCAAUUGUUUGGUAUUUAUUUCGUCAUUUUAAUGCACUAUAAUUUCUUGUGAUUUGUUGUGGUUAUAGUCGAUGUUGUCUUUUUUGGAUUUUUUGGUGUUUCAAAUUUAACACCAAACGUGCGUGUUCAAAUAAAAACAAGACAUGUUUGAAAAGAAUUACGAAAGUAUAAAUAUAAGAACAGUGUUAAUUUCGAGAACGAAGUAAACGAUCGAGUGCAUGGAGUGCGUGACCACUUAAUGGUUAAAGACCUGUGUGCUACUUGUGAUCAACCCCUAACACGUGUGAUCGUAACAAUAUUAUUUAUUAAAUAAGAUAGCAAAACGCUUUUAGCAAAGGUAAAGAAAUGUAAAACAUCGUUUCUAUAAGAGACCGCCACAAGCAAGCCAUGAAUUACAAUACUUCAAUUGUAAUAAGCUCGAUUUCGUGGCAAAAAUUGACAGCGAAUGAAACAUAGCUCCUUCAUUUCACUCUGGAGUCUAUUUGACAGUCAUCCGAGUGAACUACCCACGAUUAAUCGAUUUCGGAGCAUGGUAAGGCGCAAGUGUCACUUGGCCCAGCUCAAAGUUUCAUCGACACCCUUGUAAAAAUUAAGCGACUGGAAUGUAGUGGAAGUAUUAUUGAAAUGAUUUAAGGACAAAAUUGUAAAGAAACGGCCCAAUUGCAGAGGAAGGUAGUGUUUUCCACCUACUUUUUUAUAUUAGCCUCAAGAGAAUUCUGGCUAAAAAAAAUUUAGUGACAAUGAAAAGCUAGUUACCGAGAAUGAGACCUCUUUUAAAGUGAAUGAAACAAUAUGAGCUUUACAGCUAACAAAAAUUUUGAACGAUGGCAUUUGAAAUGCAAAAAGCGGCCUGAUUGGCAGUCUGUAUAUGAGGGAGUAUAAUCUAUCAAGACUGGAAAAAACUUAUCGCAUGCAAGCGUUAAUGACAAUAUCAUUGAAAAAGAGGCUUAGUAGCGUUGGACAUUUUAUUCGUCGAGAUAUAGAGUGUAAUCACUCGUCAAGUGUUUCAAUAAGACUAAGCUAUACCAUGAGAAUAAGAAGGCUCUUCAGUACAAUACAACAUGCAGAUAGACCAAAUAUGUAUAUAAUAAUCUUUAAGUUACCUUUCCUAUUCAUUUCAUAUCACAUAAUUUUAUUUGUUUGUCCCCUUUUAUUUCUACAAAUACUUAUGACCUCAAUAACAAAACAGGCGUCCUUGAAAAUUUUAACAUUUUUAUUAAGACAGACAAUUUUUUAUCUUUUAUCGAUACUCUAUUCGUGUCGUGCUUAUGAAUAUCAAUAAGAAAUUAUUCAAGUGAAAUGCUUUGCAAUUGUGUCAGCUGCAUACAAAUUUCGCACACAAAUUACACCCGCGAUAAUUAUGUAUGUAAACAAAUAUUUGCAGUGUGAUAAAAAAGUAACAUUGUGAUACACAAGAA